rnacentral:rRNA from 1 species
AUUGAACGCUGGCGGCAUGCCUUACACAUGCAAGUCGAACGGCAGCACGGGAGCUUGCUCCCGGUGGCGAGUGGCGAACGGGUGAGUAAUACAUCGGAACGUGCCCUGAAGUGGGGGAUAACGUAGCGAAAGUUACGCUAAUACCGCAUAUUCUGUGAGCAGGAAAGCAGGGGUUCGUAAGACCUUGUGCUUUAGGAGUGGCCGAUGUCGGAUUAGCUAGUUGGUGGGGUAAAGGCCUACCAAGGCGACGAUCCGUAGCGGGUCUGAGAGGAUGAUCCGCCACACUGGAACUGAGACACGGUCCAGACUCCUACGGGAGGCAGCAGUGGGGAAUUUUGGACAAUGGGCGCAAGCCUGAUCCAGCCAUGCCGCGUGAGUGAAGAAGGCCUUCGGGUUGUAAAGCUCUUUCGGCGGGGAAGAAAUUGCGUGGGUUAAUACCCUGCGUAGAUGACGGUACCCGCAUAAGAAGCACCGGCUAACUACGUGCCAGCAGUCGCGGUAAUACGUAGGGUGCGAGCGUUAAUCGGAAUUACUGGGCGUAAAGCGUGCGCAGGCGGUUAUAUAAGUCAGAUGUGAAAUCCCCGGGUUCAACCUGGGAAUUGCAUUUGAGACUGUAUGACUAGAGUGUGGCAGAGGGGGGUGGAAUUCCACGUGUAGCAGUGAAAUGCGUAGAGAUGUGGAGGAACACCGAUGGCGAAGGCAGCCCCCUGGGCCAAUACUGACGCUCAUGCACGAAAG